rnacentral:rRNA from 1 species
CAGUUCGGAUUGAAGGCUGAAAUUACGCCUUCCAUGAAGCCGGAAUUGCUAGUAAUGGCAGGUCAGCAUACUGCCGUGAAUACGUUCCCGGGCCUUGUACACACCGCCCGUCACACCAUGAGAGUUGGGAAUACCCGAAGCCUGUGAGCUAACGAAAGAGGCAGCAGUCGAAGGUAGAAUCAAUGAUUGGGGUGAAGUCGUAACAAGGUAUC